UUCAUUUUCUCUUGUUUUUAAUUCUGUCUUCAGUUUCAGUUAGGAUUUGGUCCAGUCCAGUCCAAAUCAAUCCAUGAGUUGGUCCAUUCCGAAUUCUAUAAAA